rnacentral:rRNA from 1 species
UACAGAGGGUGCGAGCGUUAAUCGGAAUUACUGGGCGUAAAGCGUGCGUAGACGGUUAUUUAAGUCGGGUGUGAAAGCCCCGGGCUCAACCUGGGAAUUGCAUUCGAGACUGAAUAGCUAGGGUACGGUAGAGGGAAGUGGAAUUUCCGGUGUAGCGGUGAAAUGCGUAGAUAUCGGAAGGAACAUCAGUGGCGAAGGCGGUUCUCUGGGACGGUACUGACGCUGAGACGCGAAAGCGUGGGGAGCGAACAGG